AUGAUUAGAGGCAUUGGGGGCG
rnacentral:snRNA from 1 species